rnacentral:rRNA from 1 species
CAUGCAAGUCGAACGGUAACAGGAAGCAGCUUGCUGCUUUCGCUGACGAGUGGCGGACGGGUGAGUAAUGUCUGGGAAACUGCCUGAUGGAGGGGGAUAACUACUGGAAACGGUAGCUAAUACCGCAUAACGUCGCAAGACCAAAGAGGGGGACCUUAGGGCCUCUUGCCAUCGGAUGUGCCCAGAUGGGAUUAGCUAGUAGGUGGGGUAACGGCUCACCUAGGCGACGAUCCCUAGCUGGUCUGAGAGGAUGACCAGCCACACUGGAACUGAGACACGGUCCAGACUCCUACGGGAGGCAGCAGUGGGGAAUAUUGCACAAUGGGCGCAAGCCUGAUGCAGCCAUGCCGCGUGUAUGAAGAAGGCCUUCGGGUUGUAAAGUACUUUCAGCGGGGAGGAAGGGAGUAAAGUUAAUACCUUUGCUCAUUGACGUUACCCGCAGAAGAAGCACCGGCUAACUCCGUGCCAGCAGCCGCGGUAAUACGGAGGGUGCAAGCGUUAAUCGGAAUUACUGGGCGUAAAGCGCACGCAGGCGGUUUGUUAAGUCAGAUGUGAAAUCCCCCGGGCUCAACCUGGGAACUGCAUCUGAUACUGGCAAGCUUGAGUCUCGUAGAGGGGGGUAGAAUUCCAGGUGUAGCGGUGAAAUGCGUAGAGAUCUGGAGGAAUACCGGUGGCGAAGGCGGCCCCCUGGACGAAGACUGACGCUCAGGUGCGAAAGCGUGGGGAGCAAACAGGAUUAGAUACCCUGGUAGUCCACGCCGUAAACGAUGUCGACUUGGAGGUUGUGCCCUUGAGGCGUGGCUUCCGGAGCUAACGCGUUAAGUCGACCGCCUGGGGAGUACGGCCGCAAGGUUAAAACUCAAAUGAAUUGACGGGGGCCCGCACAAGCGGUGGAGCAUGUGGUUUAAUUCGAUGCAACGCGAAGAACCUUACCUGGUCUUGACAUCCACGGAAGUUUUCAGAGAUGAGAAUGUGCCUUCGGGAACCGUGAGACAGGUGCUGCAUGGCUGUCGUCAGCUCGUGUUGUGAAAUGUUGGGUUAAGUCCCGCAACGAGCGCAACCCUUAUCCUUUGUUGCCAGCGGUCCGGCCGGGAACUCAAAGGAGACUGCCAGUGAUAAACUGGAGGAAGGUGGGGAUGACGUCAAGUCAUCAUGGCCCUUACGACCAGGGCUACACACGUGCUACAAUGGCGCAUACAAAGAGAAGCGACCUCGCGAGAGCAAGCGGACCUCAUAAAGUGCGUCGUAGUCCGGAUUGGAGUCUGCAACUCGACUCCAUGAAGUCGGAAUCGCUAGUAAUCGUGGAUCAGAAUGCCACGGUGAAUACGUUCCCGGGCCUUGUACACACCGCCCGUCACACCAUGGGAGUGGGUUGCAAAAGAAGUAGGUAGCUUAACCUUCGGGAGGGCGCUUACCCACUUUGUGAUUCAUGACCUGCGGGUGAAGUUC